GACGAACGCUGGCGGCGUGCUUAACACAUGCAAGUCGAGCGGUAGGGCCCUUUCGGGGGUACACGGGCGGCGAACGGGUGAGUAACACGUGGGUGACCUGCCCUCAGCUCUGGGAUAAGCCUGGGAAACCGGGUCUAAUACUGGAUAUGACUCCAUGACGCAUGUUGUGGGGUGGAAAGCCUUGUGCGGGCUGAGGAUGGGCCCGCGGCCUAUCAGCUUGUUGGUGGGGUGAUGGCCUACCAAGGCGA
rnacentral:rRNA from 1 species